rnacentral:lncRNA from 1 species
AAAAAUCUGAGAAGAAUCAGCAAUUUGGCUUUUGAGCAACUUAGUUACUUCUUCGGCUUGAAGACAUUCAUCAUCCUGGUAAGCAUUCAAAGCUUCGGCUGUUAGGUUGACGUCACAAUCAUUUUCAGCAUCUCCGAAUUGAGGAUUUUUUUCCACAGUAGCAUCUUCUAUUUCACAAACUUCAACCUUCAGAAAAUUCUCAUUGGCUGCUUCUGAUUCCAGAACAGGCUCCCUCAUUGAAUUAGAAAUGAUCAUAGCUCCAGUCAAAUAUCCCUCGGCUUCUUCAUUCGUCUCUUCCAUAGUUAUUGGUUCCUUGAUUGCAUCUUCAAUGGAAGAAAUUUGGUCACAAGUUGAAUCACCAGUGACUUGU